UACGUAGGGGGCAAGCGUUGUCCGGAUUUACUGGGCGUAAAGAGCGUGUAGGCGGCCAAACAGGUCCGUUGUGAAAACUGGAGGCUUAACCUCCAGACGUCGACAGAAACCGUCUGGCUAGAGUCCGGAAGAGGAGAGUGGGAUUCCUGGUGUAGCGGUGAAAUGCGCAGAUAUCAGGAAGAACACCAAUGGCGAAGGCAGCUCUCUGGGACGGUACUGACGCUGAGACGCGAAAGCGUGGGGAGCGAACAGG
rnacentral:rRNA from 1 species